UUGCACCAGCCGCUAGCACCAGCUGCUAG
rnacentral:sRNA from 1 species